UUGAAAGGGAAACGAUUGAAGUCAGUCGUACCGGUGGGUAAUCAGCCUUUCGGCGUGAUUAUGUGGAGCGUGAGGAGUUAAACGCCCUCAUGGCCUGAAUAUUCGUGUUCUUUGGGUGUACUUACCCGCAUGGUAGGUUAACAUCAAUUUCGAACGUCAUAAAAUGGUUGGAGGAAUGUAGCUUCGAUCUCGUAUUGAAGUGUUAUAGACUCCGGCAGAUGUGAUGAUCGGGAUUGAGGAUUGCAACGGAUACCCUUCGGGGCUACCCGUCUGAUCUCUGAAAGUUACUCUGGUGCCGAAAGCUCGCUUACGGUCAUCAAAGUUGACGUUCAACAGGUUAGAACGGGAUAAAUUCGUUAAGGAUGUUGACGUA
rnacentral:rRNA from 1 species